rnacentral:rRNA from 1 species
AUUGAACGCUGGCGGCAGGCCUAACACAUGCAAGUCGAACGAGUGGCGGACGGGUGAGUAAUGUCUGGGAAACUGCCUGAUGGAGGGGGAUAACUACUGGAAACGGUAGCUAAUACCGCUUACCAUCGGAUGUGCCCAGAUGGGAUUAGCGAGUAGGGGGGGUAAAGGCUCACCUAGGCGAAGAUCCCUAGCUGGUCUGAGGGGAUGACCAGCCACACUGGAAAUGGGAAACGGUCCAAACUCGGAAGGGAGGCAGCAGUGGGAAACAUUGGGCAAGGGGCGGAAGCUGGAAGCGGCCAAGGCGCGGGGAGGAAGAAGGCCUUCGGGUGGUAAAGUACUGUCAGCGGGGGGGCGUUACCCGCAGAAGAAGCACCGGCUAACUCCGUGCCAGCAGCCGCGGUAAUAC